rnacentral:rRNA from 1 species
UACGUAGGCAGCGAGCGUUGUUCGGAGUUACUGGGCGUAAAGCGUGCGUAGGCGGUGUCUUAAGUUUGUUUGUGAAAUCUCCCGGCUUAACCGGGAGGGGUGCGGCGAAUACUGAGAUGCUGGAGUGCCGGAGAGGUAAGCGGAAUUCCUGGUGUAGCGGUGAAAUGCGCAGAUAUCAGGAAGAACACCCGUGGCGAAGGCGGUUCUCUGGGACGGUACUGACGCUGAGACGCGAAAGCGUGGGGAGCGAACAGG